UGGGGAAUAUUGCACAAUGGUGGGAACUCUGAUGCAGCGACGCCGCGUGAACGAAGAAGGCUUUCGAGUCGUAAAGUUCUUUUAUAUGGGAAGAUAAUGACGGUACCAUAAGAAAAAGCCCCGGCUAACUACGUGCCAGCAGCCGCGGUAAUACGUAGGGGGCUAGCGUUGUCCGGAAUCACUGGGCGUAAAGGGUUCGCAGGCGGAAAUGCAAGUCAGGUGUAAAAGGCAGUAGCUUAACUACUGUAAGCAUUUGAAACUGCAUAUCUUGAGAAGAGUAGAGGUAAGUGGAAUUUUUAGUGUAGCGGUGAAAUGCGUAGAUAUUAAAAAGAAUACCGGUGGCGAAGGCGACUUACUGGGCUCAUUCUGACGCAGAGGAACGAAAGCGUGGGUAGCAAACAGG
rnacentral:rRNA from 1 species